UUCUUCGAUUUGCAGUCGAAAGUGCUCCAAGACCCUCGAAAGAAAGCAACAUUUGCGGUAAAAUUCACACUAAAAUCUCACUCCAAAGACAGUUGGGAGAAUGCCGUCACGGAAGCUGAACAUUUGAUGUCCUUAGGAAGGUAACAUAUUCUUAAUACCUCAGUGUCUUAGAAUAUGUAUUUAUUUACUUAUUAAUUUAAUUUGCAAAUCGGGCAUUUUUACUUAAGUGUACAAUACAAUUACAGUUACAAACUCAUAAAAAAAAAACAGGACAUACAGAAUAAUAACAAAAAAAGGAUUGGAAGAAAGGAAGAAUGUGUGAAACAAAAGUAUAUCAGUCAUUUGUAAUGUUUCAAACUUUGCUCAACUUGUAACUCUUCAAUCACAAAAGUCAUGUUCUUUUGAAGAACAUCCAGGCAGGAGAAAAUGCUUUAUCUUCCUCCCAAACUUGUGUAUGAAAAUGAGAGAAAGCCCUAAAAAUGUAAAAUAAAGUACCUAAUUUUUUUUGCGGUUAAAAAGUUUUGGAUGCUCAUGACAUUAAUUUACUGCUGCAGACUAUUUGAACAACGCAAACAUCGCUCAGUGAGAAGCCUACCAAAACCAGCACAGUAGGCAAUUUGAUUCAAGAUAGAUUCGUGUUUUUCCUGUGAGCAGAAAAGUCUAAUUUUUUUCGUAACCGAUACUAUGUAAAACGUUAAUAUCUCGGUUUAAAGUGAAUUCCGUAAUUUUCCGUUUCGCAAAUCGUACUCUAUGUGAAAUUUUGGAGAUGAAACAUAUGUCUAAAUGCUUAAAUUUACGCCUUGUCAAGUGGUCCAUUCAACUGGAGAUUUCAACUGAAGUGCUCAAAAUAAUGUAGGCUUAUGCUUCUUAAAGAAAAUGACCCUCCUUCUACAGCUUUAAAAGUAAAUCCAUGUUUGAUAUUUGUUCCCAGCGCUGACAGAGUACUGCACUUCCACUACUGUACCCAUGGAGGUCCAAAGAACAAAGAAAGAUCUAAUUAAACUGCUCAUGGAAGAAGAAGUUCCAUCUAGUAAUCAGAAAUCGCAGCCUAAAACCUCCGCAGCUUCUCCUGAACCAUCUGAUUCGUUAUCAGCACCUAAGAAGCAAGAGAAUAAAGUCAAGGAGCUGACCGGAAAAGAGAAAUUCCUUUGAAUACAAAUCUAUUCAAAAGAAGCAAGAACUUGGGUCUAAUGAGGAUAGCUCUGAAGCAGAGGUAAAACUCUAAUUUGCUACUUCUUUAUCAAAUAAUUCAACUUUGGUAUGUUUAUGUUUAUCUCCGUAGCAUUUUCCAAGCACGAAAACCAAUAUUUGGGGUGUCUAGCGACCAUGGAAGUAGGAAAAGUCAAGGAGCCCUGCCUUCUGCAGCGCUCUCUCC
rnacentral:lncRNA from 1 species